ensembl:snRNA U1 U1 spliceosomal RNA
AGUCUUACCUGGCAGGGGAGACAUCAUGAUCUAGCAGGUGGUUUUCCCAGGGCCGGGCUCAUCCCUUGCACUCCAGGUGUGCUGGUGUGCUGACCCCUUGAUUGCAGCGAUCAGGAGAUGGUCGAAUUCAAGAUCCUCAGGACAGUGAGAAGAUCUUGCAGCAAGCUCACUGCCCUGGA